rnacentral:rRNA from 1 species
GACGAACGCUGGCGGCGUGCUUAACACAUGCAAGUCGAACGGAAAGGCCCUGCUUUUGUGGGGUGCUCGAGUGGCGAACGGGUGAGUAACACGUGAGUAACCUGCCCUUGACUUUGGGAUAACUUCAGGAAACUGGGGCUAAUACCGGAUAGGAGCUCCGGCUGCAUGGUGGGGGGUGGAAAGUUUCGGCGGUUGGGGAUGGACGCGCGGCUGAGCAGCUUGUUGGUGGGGUAGUGGCUUACCAAGGCUUUGACGGGUAGCCGGCCUGAGAGGGUGACCGGCCACAUUGCGACUGCGAUACGGCCCAGACUCCUACGGGAGGCAGCAGUGGGAAAUAUUGCACAAUGGGCGGAAGCCUGAUGCAGCAGCGCCGCGUGCGGGAUGAAGGCCUUCGGGUUGUAAACCGCUUUCGCCUGUGACGAAGCGUGAGUGACGGUAAUGGGUAAAGAAGCACCGGCUAACUACGUG